rnacentral:rRNA from 1 species
CCUACGGGUGGCAGCAGUGAGGAAUAUUGGUCAAUGGCCGCAAGGCUGAACCAGCCAUGCCGCGUGAAGGUCAAUGCCCUAUGGGCGUUUAACUUCUUUUGUGCGGGAGCAAUAAUGGUCACGUGUGGCCUGACUAGAGUACCGUACGAAUAAGCAUCCGCUAACUCCCUGCCAGCAGCCGCGGUAAUACGGGGGAUGCAAGCGUUAUCCGGGUUUAUUGGGUUUAAAGGGAGCGUAGAUGGGUUGUUAAGUCAGUUGUGAAAGUUUGCGGCUCAACCGUAAAAUUGCAAUUGAUACUGGCAGUCUUGAGUACAGUGGAGGUAGGCGGAAUUCGUGGUGUAGCGGUGAAAUGCUUAGAUAUCACGAAGAACCCCGAUUGCGAAGGCAGCUUACUAAACUGUGACUGACAUUGAUGCUCGAAAGUGUGGGUAUCAAACAGGAUUAGAUACCCUUGUAGUC